rnacentral:rRNA from 1 species
GACGAACGCUGGCGGCGUGCCUAAUACAUGCAAGUAGAACGCAGUUGCGAACGGGUGAGUAAUGCGUUGGUAACUGCCUGGUAUCGGGGUAUAACUAGUUGACUCGUUAGCUAAUACCGUAUACUACCCGAUGUACCUUCGUUGUAUUAGCUAGUUGGUGAGGUAACGGCUCACCAAGGCAACGAUACAUAGCCGAGCGGAGAGGGUGAUCUGGCACACUGGGACGGGGAAACGGCCCAGACAUCUACGGGAGGCAGCAAUAGGGAAGCGUCGGCAAUGGGGGGAACCCUGACCGAGCAACGCAGCGUGAGUGAAGAAGGUUUUCGGAUCGUAAAGCUCUGUUGUUAAGGAAGCGGGAAUUAACCAGAAAGGGACGGCUAACUACGUGCCAGCAGCCGCGGUAAUAC